AUGAGGUCGGGAUGGAACUUUUGUUGGCGCAAGGUGCUUUUCUUCAUCAUCAUCAAGGUUACUAAGUAUCAAGUCAGAAAUGUAAGACCAUGGACUUGUUAUAUGCCGCCAAGGAAGUGCCCGAGAUCAGAUGGCUAUCUUCACUAUGGAAAGAAAACAGUAACUGGUAGUCUUGUUUGUGUUGGACACGCUGAUUAUUACAUGUUGGUACACUCAUUUUCCAAGCAUGCAGAGGUUGAUAUUGGUGUUAUUCAUGCCAGUGUGCUAAAACUUGAGAGGAGACUUGCCUGGAUAGAAGAAAGAAUAGGCAGAAGGUUGGAUGCCUUGCAGAAUCUACCAAGCUAA
rnacentral:rRNA from 1 species